UACAGAGGUCUCAAGCGUUGUUCGGAAUCACUGGGCUUAAAGGGCGCGUAGGCGGCUCAUCAAGUCGGGGGUGAAAUACUUCAGCUUAACUGGAGAAGUGCCUUCGAUACUGGUGGGCUCGAGGGAGGUAGGGGUCUUUGGAACUUCUGGUGGAGCGGUGAAAUGCGUUGAUAUCAGAAGGAACGCCGGUGGCGAAAGCGAAGGACUGGACCUCUUCUGACGCUGAGGCGCGAAAGCUAGGGGAGCAAACGGG
rnacentral:rRNA from 1 species